AGUUUGAUCAUGGCUCAGGAUGAACGCUGGCGGCGUGCCUAAUACAUGCAAGUCGAGCGAACUGAUUAGAAGCUUGCUUCUAUGACGUUAGCGGCGGACGGGUGAGUAACACGUGGGCAACCUGCCUGUAAGACUGGGAUAACUUCGGGAAACCGAAGCUAAUACCGGAUAGGAUCUUCUCCUUCAUGGGAGAUGAUUGAAAGAUGGUUUCGGCUAUCACUUACAGAUGGGCCCGCGGUGCAUUAGCUAGUUGGUGAGGUAACGGCUCACCAAGGCAACGAUGCAUAGCCGACCUGAGAGGGUGAUCGGCCACACUGGGACUGAGACACGGCCCAGACUCCUACGGGAGGCAGCAGUAGGGAAUCUUCCGCAAUGGACGAAAGUCUGACGGAGCAACGCCGCGUGAGUGAUGAAGGCUUUCGGGUCGUAAAACUCUGUUGUUAGGGAAGAACAAGUACGAGAGUAACUGCUCGUACCUUGACGGUACCUAACCAGAAAGCCACGGCUAACUACGUGCCAG
rnacentral:rRNA from 2 species